AUAGCCGCGUCGGGAGAGAUCGGCCUUUCAGCUUUCUUGAGCUCGGAGGUCGGCGCCGAAGGAGCAACCGCCCCGGAAACUCUCAGGCAAAAGGACCGCGCGGCUUC
rnacentral:ncRNA from 2 species